rnacentral:rRNA from 1 species
UACGUAGGGGGCAAGCGUUGUUCGGAAUUACUGGGCGUAAAGCGCGCGUAGGCGGUUUGAAAAGUCAGAUGUGAAAGCCCCGGGCUCUACUUGGGAACUGCAUUUGAUACUGUCAGACUAGAGUACAGAAGAGGUGACUGGAAUUCCCAGUGUAGCGGUGAAAUGCGUAGAUAUUGGGAGGAACACCAGAUGCGAAGGCGGGUCACUGGGCUGAUACUGACGCUGAAGUGCGAAAGCCAGGGGAGCGAACGGG